rnacentral:lncRNA from 1 species
UUGCUUUUGAAGCUUGGUGGUGGACCAAUCUUCAACCCUUGAGGAUCUUGGACUUGAUUUGGAGCUUCCUAGAGGUAUGUGACUAGUUCUUCUCCUCUAGAUCCUAGUUUUGGAGCUUUUUGCUUGAUGAAACCCUAGAUUGGGAUUCUAGGGUUAGAUUUGGGGCUUUUUGGAUUUGAGGGCUUUGAAACCUAAUUGAUGGGUUUGGAACCUUUAUUUAGGUUCGAUUUGAAGAACUCUAACUCCCAUUUGGAGCUUGAGAGAGGAUUUCUUCACUUAGGUGAGUUUUUCUCCACCUUAGCCUAUGUUGCUUAUUGAUUGAGCUUAG